GCAAGAUACCACGGGCGCACGGCGGAUGCCUUGGCACAGGGAGCCGAUGAAGGACGCGGCAAGCUGCGAUAAUCCCCGGCGAGGAGCACACAUCCUUCGACCCGGGGGUCUCCGAAUGGGCGAACCCAUCCACAGCGGUGUGGAUAUCCCCACCCCGAACACAUAGGGGCGGGGAGGACAACCCGGGGAACUGAAACAUCUAAGUACCCGGAGGAGAGGAAAUCAAUCUCGAGACUCCCCGAGUAGCGGCGAGCGAAAGGGGACCGAUGGCCAAACCGUCGAGCGGGCAUACCCGGCAGGGGUUCCGCCGGCGGGGUUGCAGGGCCGCGCAUCCGGGGGNNNNNNNNNNAUACCCGGCAGGGGUUCCGCCGGCGGGGUUGCAGGGCCGCGCAUCCGGGGGCUGCCGCCCCCGGGCGCAGGUCCGGCUGGGGAGCGGAACGGCAUGGGAGGGCCGGCCGCAGCGGGUGACAGCCCCGUACGCGAACCCAGACCGGACGGCGCGACGCGGUCCCUGAGUAGGGCCGGGCACGUGAAACCCGGUCCGAACCUGGGUGGACCACCAUCCAAGCCUGAGUACUACCCUGUGACCGAUAGCGCACCAGUACCGUGAGGGAAAGGUGAAAAGCACCCCGGGAGGGGAGUGAAACAGUACCUGAAACCGUGCGCCCACGAGCAGUCGGAGCAACUUUUAGUUGUGACGGCGUGCCUUUUGUAGAAUGAGCCAGCGAGUCGCUGGCGCGGGGCGAGGUUAACCGGAAGGGAGCCGAAGCGAAAGCGAGCCUUAACAGGGCGACUUGAGUCCCGCGCCGCGGACGCGAAGCCGGGUGAGCUAUCCGUGGGCAGGCUGAAGCGGGGGUAAGACCCCGUGGAGGGCCGAACGCACGUCGGUUGAAAACGGCGGCGAUGACCUGCGGAUAGGGGUGAAAGGCCAAUCAAACCCGGAGAUAUCUCGUUCUCCCCGAAAUAGCUUUAGGGCUAGCGUCGCGCGUUCACCGCCGGAGGUAGAGCACCGGAUGGACGAGGGGGCUUCGCCGCCUACCGAAUCCAACCGAACUCCGAAUGCCGGCGGCCCAGAGCGCGGCAGUCAGAGCAUGUGGGCUAAGCUGUGUGCUCGAGAGGGAAACAGCCCGGACCGCCCGCUAAGGUCCCCAAGUUCCAGCCGAGUGGCAAAGGAUGUGCGUCCGCCCAGACAACCAGGAUGUUGGCUUAGAAGCAGCCAUGCAUUCAAAGAGUGCGUAACAGCUCACUGGUCGAGUGGACAUGCGCCGACAAUACACGGGGCUAAGCUGGACACCGAAGCGGCGGGAUUUUAAUUCAUUAGAAUCGGUAGGGGAGCUUCCCAUGGGCGGGGAAGCCGCCGGGCGACCGGCGGUGGAGCGCAUGGGAGUGAGAAUGCUGGCAUGAGUAGCGAGAGACGAGAGAGUAACUCGUCCGCCGUGAACCCGAGGUUUCCUGGGCAAGGCUAAUCCUCCCAGGGUCAGUCGGGGGCUAAGGCGAGGCCGGGAGGCGUAGCCGACGCGCAGCAGGCAGACAUUCCUGCACCGCGCACGCGGCGCUACGACCGACGGGGCGACGGAUGGGGGUGGCUCGGCGGGGUUCUGGACGUCCCCGUGAUGGAGCGCGGCCCGCGGACCAGGGAAAUCCGGUCCGCACGAGGGCGAGGCUCCGGACGAAGCACUUAAGCGAAGCGAGUGAGCCCGAGGUCCCUAGAAAAACCCCUAGGCAGGCGCGUGCGCGCCCGUACCGCAAACCGACACAGGUGGGUGGGUAGAACAUACCGAGGCGAUCGGGUCAACCAUGGUCAAGGAACUCGGCACAAUGGCCCCGUAACUUCGGGAGAAGGGGUGCCCGCGCGUACGUGAACGGACUUGCUCCGGGAGCGGAGGCGGGCCGCAGUGGAGAGGCCCAAGCGACUGUUUACCAAAAACACAGGACUCUGCAGAAGCCGCAAGGCGACGUAUAGGGUCUGACGCCUGCCCGGUGCCGGAAGGUCACGCGGAGGAGUUAGCGCAUCGCGCGAAGCCCCGAAGCCAAGCCCCGGUAAACGGCGGCCGUAACUAUAACGGUCCUAAGGUAGCGAAAUUCCUUGUCGGGUAAGUUCCGACCUGCACGAAAGGCGCAACGACUUGGGCGCUGUCUCGACCAUGGACCCGGUGAAAUUGCACUGGUCGUGAAGAUGCGACUUACCCGCGGAAGGACGGAAAGACCCCGUGAACCUUCACUGCAGCUUGGCAUUGGCCGCUGGUCCCGCGUGUAGAGGAUAGGCAGGAGGCAUCGAUCCGGAGGCGCCAGCCCCCGGGGAGCCGCCCUUGGAAUACUGCCCUCGCGCGACCGGCGUCCUAACCCGAGGCCGUCACCCGGCUCGGGGACCGUGCCAGGCGGGCAGUUUGACUGGGGCGGUCGCCUCCUAAAGGGUAACGGAGGCGCGCGAAGGUCCGCUCGGGACGGUCGGCAACCGUCCUUUUGAAUGCAAGAGUACAAGCGGGCUUGACUGCGAGGCCCACGAGCCGAGCAGGUGCGAAAGCAGGCUCUAGUGAUCCGGCGGCCCCGAGUGGGUGGGCCGUCGCUCAACGGAUAAAAGGUACUCCGGGGAUAACAGGCUGAUCUUGCCCAAGAGUCCACAUCGACGGCAAGGUUUGGCACCUCGAUGUCGGCUCAUCGCAUCCUGGGGCUGGAGCAGGUCCCAAGGGUACGGCUGUUCGCCGUUUAAAGCGGUACGCGAGCUGGGUUCAGAACGUCGUGAGACAGUUCGGUCCCUAUCCUCCGUGGGCGCAGGAGAAUCGAUGGAGGCUGCCCCCAGUACGAGAGGACCGGGGUGGACGCACCUCCGGUGAACCGGUUGUCGACCAACGGCACGGCCGGGUAGCCGCGUGCGGCGCGGAUAACCGCUGAAGGCAUCUAAGCGGGAAGCCGUUCCAGGGAUUAGUUCUCCUUCCGGUAAGGGCCCAGGUAGACUACCUGGUCGAUAGACGGCAGGUGCAAGGGCGGCGACGCCCUCAGCCGAGCCGCACUAAUCGCCCGAGCUCUUCC
rnacentral:rRNA from 1 species